GUCGAACGGAUCCUUCGGGAUUAGUGGCAGACGGGUGAGUAACGCGUGGGAAGCUACCUUGUGGUAGGGGACAACAGUUGGAAACGACUGCUAAUACCCUAUGAGCCCUAUGGGGGAAAGAUUUAUCGCCAUGAGAUGUGCCCGCGUUAGAUUAGCUAGUUGGUAAGGUAAUGGCUUACCAAGGCGACGAUCUAUAGCUGGUCUGAGAGGAUGAUCAGCCACACUGGGACUGAGACACGGCCCAGACUCCUACGGGAGGCAGCAGUGGGGAAUAUUGGACAAUGGGGGCAACCCUGAUCCAGCCAUGCCGCGUGUGUGAUGACGGCCUUAGGGUUGUAAAGCACUUUCAGCAGUGAAGAUAAUGACAUUAACUGCAGAAGAAGCCCCGGCUAACUUCGUGCCAGCAGCCGCGGUAAUACGAAGGGGGCUAGCGUUGUUCGGAAUCACUGGGCGUAAAGAGUACGUAGGCGGACUGAUAAGUUAGGGGUGAAAUCCCAAGGCUCAACCUUGGAACUGCCUUUGAUACUGUCAGUCUUGAGAUCGAGAGAGGUGAGUGGAACUCCGAGUGUAGAGGUGAAAUUCGUAGAUAUUCGGAAGAACACCAGUGGCGAAGGCGGCUCACUGGCUCGAUACUGACGCUGAGGUACGAAAGCGUGGGGAGCAAACAGGA
rnacentral:rRNA from 1 species